rnacentral:rRNA from 1 species
GACGUAGGGCGCGAGCGUUGUCCGGAUUUAUUGGGCGUAAAGGGUGUGUAGGUGGCGCCGUAAGUCGGGUGUGAAAUUUCGGAGCUUAACUCCGAAACUGCAUUCGAUACUGCCGUGCUUGAGGACUGGAGAGGAGACUGGAAUUUACGGUGUAGCGGUGAAAUGCGUAGAUAUCGUAAGGAAGACCAGUGGCGAAGGCGGGUCUCUGGACAGUUCCUGACGCUGAGGCACGAAGGCCAGGGGAGCAAACGGG